GACGUAGGGGGCAAGCGUUGUUCGGAAUCACUGGGCGUAAAGCGUCUGUAGGUGGUUUAAAAAGUCUACUGUUAAAAAUUGAAAGCUUAACUUCAAAGAUGCCGUAGAAAACUUUUUAAACUUGAGGAUGGUAGGGGUAGAGGGAAUUUCCAGUGGAGCGGUGAAAUGCGUAGAUCUUGGAAAGACCACCAAUGGCGAAGGCACUCUACUGGGCCAUGACUGACACUAAGAGACGAAAGCUAGGGGGAGCAAAUGGG
rnacentral:rRNA from 1 species